GGUUGUAUAGCGCAAUGGUAGCGCGCUCGCUCUUGUAACGGGAAGUUUUAGGUUUAACUCCCGGUGCAACCU
rnacentral:tRNA from 2 species